UCAUGGCAGAUGAGGAUUUGUUGAUUUUAAUGGGUAAUUUGCAUCUGAAACUUGUGAUGUUACCUAUCAUAUCACCUUGGAGAUCUGAUGCCUAAA